AUUGAACGCUAGCGGGAUGCCUUACACAUGCAAGUCGAACGGAUUGGCGAACGGGUGAGUAAUGUAUCGGAACGUGCCCAGUCGCGCGGGAUAACUACGCGAAAGCGUAGCUAAUCCCACAUACUAUUGGAGCGGCCUAUAUCGGAUUAGCUAGUUGGUGGGGUAACGGCUCACCAAGGCGACGGUCCGUAGCUGGUUUGAGAGGACGACCAGCCACACUGGGACUGGGACACGGCCCAGACUCCGACAAGACCCACCGUUGAAUAAUUUUGGACAGUGGGGGAAACCCUGAGCCAGCCAUCCCGCGUGUGCGAUGAAGACCUUCGGGUUAUAAAGCACUUUUGGCAGGAAAGCGGUACCUGCAGAAUAAGCACCGGCUAACUACGUGCCAGCAGCCGCGGUAAUUC
rnacentral:rRNA from 1 species